rnacentral:rRNA from 1 species
UGGAAGGAGGGAGAAUCGUAACAAGGUUUCCGUAGGUGAACCUGCGGAAGGAUCAUUG